rnacentral:rRNA from 1 species
UGGGGAAUAUUGGACAAUGGGCGAAAGCCUGAUCCAGCCAUGCCGCGUGUGUGAAGAAGGUCUUCGGAUUGUAAAGCACUCUAAGUUGGGAGGAAGGGCAGUAAGCGAAUACCUUGCUGUUUUGACGUUACCGACAGAAUAAGCACCGGCUAACUCUGUUCCAGCAGUCGCGGUAAUACAGAGGGUGCAAGCGUUAAUCGGAAUUACUGGGCGUAAAGCGCGCGUAGGUGGUUCGUUAAGUUGAAUGUGAAAGCCCCGGGCUCAACCUGGGAACAGCAACGAAAACUGGCGAGCUAGAGUAGGGCAGAGGGUGGUGGAAUUGCCUGUGUAGCGGUGAAGUGCGUAGAUGUAGGAAGGAACAACAGUGGCGUAGGCGACCACCUGGGCUCAUACUGACACUGAGGUGCGAAAGCGUGGGGAGCAAACAGG